rnacentral:rRNA from 1 species
GAUCAUGGCUCAGGAUGAACGCUAGCUACAGGCUUAACACAUGCAAGUCGAGGGGCAGCAUGAACUUAGCUUGCUAAGUUUGAUGGCGACCGGCGCACGGGUGAGUAACACGUAUCCAACCUGCCGAUGACUCGGGGAUAGCCUUUCGAAAGAAAGAUUAAUACCCGAUGGCAUAGUUCCUCCGCAUGGUAGAACUAUUAAAGAAUUUCGGUUAUCGAUGGGGAGUGCGUUCCAUUAGG